UACGGAGGGAGCUAGCGUUGUUCGGAAUUACUGGGCGUAAAGCGCGCGUAGGCGGCUUUGUAAGUUAGAGGUGAAAGCCCGGGGCUCAACCCCGGAACUGCCUUUAAGACUGCAUCGCUUGAAUCCGGGUGAGGUGAGUGGAAUUCCGAGUGUAGAGGUGAAAUUCGUAGAUAUUCGGAAGAACACCAGUGGCGAAGGCGGCUCACUGGACCGGCAUUGACGCUGAUGUGCGAAAGCGUGGGGAGCAAACAGG
rnacentral:rRNA from 1 species